rnacentral:rRNA from 1 species
AACGAACGCUGGCGGCAGGCUUAACACAUGCAAGUCGAACGCCCCGCAAGGGGAGUGGCGCACGGGUGAGUAACGCGUGGGAAUAUGCCCUUCGGUUCGGAAUAACACAGGGAAACUUGUGCUAAUACCGGAUACGAUCUACGGAUGAAAGAUUUAUCGCCGAGGGAGUAGCCCGCGUAGGAUUAGCUAGUUGGUGAGGUAAUGGCUCACCAAGGCGACGAUCCUUGGCUGGUCUGAGAGGAUGAUCAGCCACACUGGGACUGAGACACGGCACAGACUCCUACGGGAGGCAGCAGUGGGGAAUAUUGGACAAUGGGGGAAACCCUGAUCCAGCCAUGCCGCGUGAGUGAUGAAGGCCUUAGGGUUGUAAAGCUCUUUCGCCAGGGAAGAUAAUGACGGUACCUGGAAAAGAAGCCUCGGCUAACUCCGUGCCAGCCGCCGCGGUAA